CCCGGUAGCUAAAUGCGGAAGAGAUAAGUGCUGAAAGCAUCUAAGCACGAAACUUGCCCCGAGAUGAGUUCUCCCUGAGACUAUAAGUCUCCUGAAGGAACGUUAAAGACGAUGACGUUGAUAGGCCGGGUGUGUAAGCGCAGCGAUGCGUUGAGCUAACCGGUACUAAUGAACCGUGAGGCUUAACCUU
rnacentral:rRNA from 1 species